UAAUAGAUACCCUGGUAGUCCACGCCGUAAACGAUGAGUGCUAAGUGUUAGAGGGUUUCCGCCCGUUUAGUGCUGCAGCUAACGCAUUAAGCACUCCGCCUGGGGAGUACGGCCGCAAGGCUGAAACUCAAAGGAAUUGACGGGGGCCCGCACAAGCGGUGGAGCAUGUGGUUUAAUUCGAAGCAACGCGAAGAACCUUACCAGGUCUUGACAUCCUCUGACAACCCUAGAGAUAGGGCGUUCCCCUUCGGGGGACAGAGUGACAGGUGGUGCAUGGUUGUCGUCAGCUCGUGUCGUGAGAUGUUGGGUUAAGUCCCGCAACGAGCGCAACCCUUGACCUUAGUUGCCAGCAUUCAGUUGGGCACUCUAAGGUGACUGCCGGUGACAAACCGGAGGAAGGUGGGGAUGACGUCAAAUCAUCAUGCCCCUUAUGACCUGGGCUACACACGUGCUACAAUGGAUGGUACAAGGGCUGCGAGACCGCGAGGUUAAGCCAAUCCCAUAAAACCAUUCUCAGUUCGGAUUGCAGG
rnacentral:rRNA from 1 species